rnacentral:rRNA from 3 species
UUUAAUGAGAGUUUGAUCCUGGCUCAGGACGAACGCUGGCGGCGUGCCUAAUACAUGCAAGUAGAACGCUGAAGGAGGA